UACGUAGGGGGCAAGCGUUGUCCGGAUUUAUUGGGCGUAAAGAGCGUGUAGGCGGCCAGGUAGGUCUGCUGUGAAAACUCGAGGCUCAACCUCGAGACGUCGGCGGAAACCAUCUGGCUAGAGUCCGGAAGAGGAGAGUGGAAUUCCUGGUGUAGCGGUGAAAUGUGCAGAUAUCAGGAAGAACACCCGUGGCGAAGGCGGCUCUCUGGGACGGUACUGACGCUGAGGUGCGAAAGCGUGGGGAGCAAACAGG
rnacentral:rRNA from 1 species